rnacentral:lncRNA from 10 species
CGAAGGAAGGGAUAGAGUCCACCUCAGUGUCCCAAGCUCAAAUCAUGCUCAGAACAUGUUCAGACCAGUUCUAAGUCUGUUUGGCCUUCUGGAUCUGUGGUCCAGAAUACUUGCAGAAUUUUCCUUAUUUCUAGCCUUUUGUGCCAUAUGUGGGAUAAUUCGCUGAAUAUCAUCCGUGCCAUGGAUAACUCAUACAAAGGCACAAACCCAAGCCAUGUGAAUGGCCUAUUUGAAAACUUUUUUUUUUACUGAGGCAACUGGGACAGUAGCUGUUGAAUGAACUCCUCUUCUACCAACGCCAGAAUCCAGUGACGUUUCACCAGUAUGAAGAUGGGAACCACAUGCUAUACUUAUAGACUACAGAUAAACUUCAUAUCCUUCUUAUUUUUAUUGUUAACAUUACUGUUUUGAUUCUAUCAUUCACUCCUAUUUGCUGAGCAUCUAUUAUGGGCUUAGUAUUUUGCAGCUAUAAUGAGAAGAGGAAUUAUUUUUUAAAAAAAUGACUAUAGCACUCUCACAUUGUAGAGGGACAGGAUUCAUAUUUAGAUAUCUAGGUGAAUUUUUCAUUUCUGCAAAGAUGGACUCCAGAACCUAGUGUGAAAUGGGAAUAUUGAGUAUGCUAUGUAAUCAAGGAAUGAAGGAGAAUGGAGCUAGAUCUGUAACAGGAGCUACAGAAAACAAGAUGGCAAACAAGGUCCCAGCAGAACCCAGAGUCGAAAACAAGAGAACCAGGCGAAUGUGAGCACCCACCAGACCCACCCACAGAGAAUCCUAGCGACUGAAGUCAUUUUAUGUUUGCCUUCAACUUGAGAUAAGUCCCAGAAAAUUGGAGGAUGUGGAGACCAGGAUGCCUCAUUGCACAACUCCAGGAGGCACAUUACAGUAGGUGUGCAAGAGGGCAUGACACUCAAGUUACAAACACAUCAUUUCAUUUAAUCUUCACAACACUCCUGGAAAAAAGGCAUUAUUAUCCUUGUCUUACAGAUAAAGAAACUGA